GAUGAAGAACGCAGCGAAAUGCGAUAAGUAAUGUGAAUUGCAGAAUUCAGUGAAUCAUCGAAUCUUUGAACGCACAUUGCGCCCCCUGGUAUUCCGGGGGGCAUGCCUGUCCGAGCGUCAUUACAACCCUCAAGCUCAGCUUGGUGUUGGGCCCCGCCGCCCCGGCGGGCCCUAAAGUCAGUGGCGGUGCCGUCCGGCUCCGAGCGUAGUAAUUCUUCUCGCUCUGGAGGUCCGGUCGUGUGCUCGCCAGCAACCCCCAAUUUUUUUCAGGUUGACCUCGGAUCAGGUAUGGAUACCCGCUGAACUUAAGCAUAUCAAUAAGCGGAGGA
rnacentral:misc_RNA from 1 species